CACGUAGGGUGCGAGCGUUGUCCGGAAUUAUUGGGCGUAAAGAGCUCGUAGGCGGUGUGUCGCGUCGGCCGUGAAAACCUGCAGCUUAACUGUGGGCUUGCGGUCGAUACGGGCAUCACUGGAGUUCGGCAGGGGAGACUGGAAUUCCUGGUGUAGCGGUGAAAUGCGCAGAUAUCAGGAGGAACACCAGUGGCGAAAGCGGCUCUCUGGGGACCACCUGACGCUGAGGCGCGAAAGCGUGGGGAGCGAACCGG
rnacentral:rRNA from 1 species